rnacentral:lncRNA from 1 species
AAGUUCACGAGUUCAAGAUAUAAGAGGAUUCAACCUGAGUUCAUGAGUUCAUGGUAUUGUAUAGAAUGAUUUACAAUACCUUGCAGCAUUUAAACUGAGAAAUUCAAUCUUUCCAAAGAAUUAUUGAAUUGGACUAUCACAUUUUAAUUAAAACCAAGGUUAGGCAGCUGAUCAGUUCUGCACUAACCCCGAGCAGGCCCCGCCAUGCUCUAUCACUGGAUCCAAGGCACUCAUUGGCCUAACAUGACCACUCAUCUGGUCCACAGGUUUAUAUAAAAACAAUAAUCCAAUUCUCUAAUUCAAUUCAA